UACGUAGGCAGCAAGCGUUGUUCGGAAUUACUGGGCGUAAAGAGUGCGUAGGCGGUGUUCUAAGUGUGGUGUGAAAUCUCCCGGCUCAACUGGGAGGGUGCGCCGCAGACUGGAAUGCUAGAGUAUGGGAGAGGUAAGCGGAAUUCCUGGUGUAGCGGUGAAAUGCGCAGAUAUCAGGAAGAACACCCGUGGCGAAGGCGGCUCGCUGGGCCGGUACUGACGCUGAGACGCGAAAGCGUGGGGAGCGAACAGG
rnacentral:rRNA from 1 species